rnacentral:lncRNA from 1 species
CUUUUAUGUUAUCUGCAACAGAAGAUAAAACGAUGGACCUCUACCCCGUCUGUAAGAAAAUAGGUUUAGAUCUUGAUGUGAAAUCAAUAGGUGAUGCUAAUGUAUGUUUCCAGCAGCAGUGUCCCUAAUGCUGCAGGGUCUCAUCGUUCCUUCUCUAUGUUGGACUGAACUGUUUCAUCUCUUCACAAGUGAAUUCCUCAAAGCCAUAAAGGUGUGUUAUCAAUCUUUUUAGUCACAGAUUAGUCAAAUAAUUGAUUAAAUACUUAUUGUUUUGCUCUUUUCUUCCCUGCUUAUAUUACUGUAAUUCCCAUCUAGUGGGGGAGAAGGAGACCAUCUACAGUAUGACAGGAGCAAAGGUGUUCACCCAGAGAAGGAGACCAUCUACAGUAUGACAGGAGCAGAGGUGUUCACCCAGAGAAGGAGACCGUCUACAGUAUGACAGGAGCAGAGGUGUUCACCCAGAGAAGGAGACCGUCUACAGUAUGACAGGAGCAGAGGUGUUCACUUGAGGAGUCUUCUCGGUCAAGAUAAGAUUUCCUGCUUGCCAUACUAGAGGGAGAUACUGGUUAUCUUUCAACUCCACACCAUGGGAUGAUUGACCUGGAUCUUAACCAGAACAGACUUCACCAGACACAGUAGAAGUGAGGUCACAGGAAACAGACUGAUUUGUGAAGAGGGACUACAUCACCCAGAAAGCAUUGUGUCCCUGGAGGCCAGAGCUUUGUUGGAUGUAAUGCCUUGUUCUCAACCUCUGAGUGUUCGGAAAUAAGACUUGUAAACUCGGUGCAUUCACGUACCUUGAACCAAGGUCAACCAUAAACUAACAGUACAGCUAUCAUGCUGGUAUGAAACGGCAGUUGAAAAUAGGUUUUCUAGAUCAGUCCAAACAUUCCUCCUGACUGUUAUAAUCAACAUGUUUGAAUGCUAAAAUGAUAUGGGACAUUUUUCUAUUGCAACGCUUGAAUCACGUUCAUAUUUUUGGUUAUAACCCGCACAACUUUUCAGCUCUUGGUUGUUUGCUUUUAAAAAUAGUUUUUAGUACUAACUUUUGUUUGUUUACAUUAAAC